UGACAGUGAAUUUAGAAAGGAGGGCUCCAAU
rnacentral:piRNA from 1 species